AUCGACAUGGGAUAUUGGUGUGGUUCAAUUAGAUUACAAUGUCUCCACAAGAUUGUAGAGUUUGAAAAUUUGAUUCAGCCAUGCCAAUAUCACAUGUAAAGAA
rnacentral:pre_miRNA from 1 species